rnacentral:rRNA from 1 species
GACGAACGCUGGCGGCGUGCCUAAUACAUGCAAGUCGAGCGAAGCGGCGGAUGGGUGAGUAACGCGUGGGUAACCUGCCCUUAAGUCUGGGAUAGCAGUUGGAAACAGAUACUAAUACCGGAUACUAAAGGAUGGGCAUGCGAGGCAUUAGCUAGUUGGUAAGGUACCGGCUUACCAAGGCGAUGAGGCAUAGCCGAUUUGAGAGACUGAUCGGCCACAUUGGGACUGAGACACGGCCCAAACUCCGACGGGAGGCAGCAGUAGGGAAUCUGCCACAAUGGAAGAAAGUCUGAUGGAGCAACGCCGCGUGAGUGAAGAAGGUUUUCGGAUCGUAAAGCUCUGUUGUUGGGGAAGUGUUAAUCAACCAGAAAGCCACGGCUAACUACGUGCCAGCCGCCGCGGUAAUAC